AUAUACACAUAUAAGUAAAUUUGUAGGAUACUUAUACAAGUGAAUUUUAUUUACUUGUAUAGGUAAAAAAAAAAAUGGCUUAGUUAUGUCCCUUAGGCACUCAGAAUUUUUUACUUGUAUAAGUAAAAAAAUCAUCCUUUCUUCUUUUCUUGAAUUCUUAAGAUUUCUUUGCUCUAAUAGAAUUUUAAAUUGUGUACCCUUUACAGAUGUCUUUACUAAUUAUUUAAGUGUAAUUUCAUGGACAAUGAAAAUCCCAUUUGUCUGUUAUCUUCAUAACACUGCUCAUUUACAAGCCCCAAAGGAGCAAUUUUUGAUUGCCUUGCGCAAAUAUACAAGAUCUUUGCUCAAUCAGUUUCUUUGAUGAAUUAAUGAGAUGAAACAUUGAACUUUAAUGAAAAAAUUUGAGCAAACCUGGGAAAAAUCAUUAAAGGCAUGAUUUUACAUCUCAAAACUUGAGGAUUUUUGUGGGAUUGUAAGAAAAAUUUACUUAUACAAGUAAAUUUUUUAGAAAAUUAAGGGGAGAUUAUUCAAACAUUAUUUAUUUACUUAUAUGUGUAUAUUUUUUUUUACUUCUUCAAGUAAUUAAAAUACACUUGUACAAGUAGUACCCCUGACUG
rnacentral:lncRNA from 1 species